CCCUUAGAUGUUCUGGGCCGCACGCGCGCUACACUGGUGCGUUCAACAAGUUUACAACCUUGAUUGACAAGUCUGGGUAAUCUUUUGAAUGCGCACCGUGCUAGGGAUAGAUUAUUGCAAUUAUUAAUCUUGAACGAGGAAUUCCUAGUAAACGCAAGUCAUCAGCUUGCAUUGAUUACGUCCCUGCCCUUUGUACACACCGCCCGUCGCACCUACCGAUUGAAUGGUCCGGUGAAGCCUCCGGAUUGGCGCGCACCUCGGUGCCGCCGAGAAGUUGGCUAAACCUUACCAUUUAGAGGAAGGUGAAGUCGUANCA
rnacentral:rRNA from 1 species